UCCCCCUCCGGCCCCGUAGGGUUUCCUCACUCCCCCCAUUUCCCCUCCCCGCACUCGACGGCGCCGCCGGAGCUUUCUUCCGCCGCCGGCCAUGCCCACCCACCCAAGCUGAUCGAUCUCACCCAAGCUGAUGGAGAACGGAUGCGUAUCAGCCCGGAUCAGGUCGUCCUCUUCUCCUCCCGGCGGCAGCGACACGGCGGCCGAGAGACUCACCGACGACCUCCUCGUCGAGAUCCUCUCGCGCGUGCCCGCCAGGUCGCUCUGCCGCUUCAAGUGCGUCUCCAAGCACUGGCUCGGCCUCAUCAACGACCGCACCUACCGCCGGAAGCUGCCCCAGACCCUGGCCGGCUUCUACGACGGGGGUCAAUUUGUAGAUUCAGGUCUUCCUUUCACCAAUAUCUCGGGAAGCCGCCAUCUCACAUAUCCCGCCUUCCUGCCCGGCCGCCGGCGGGUCAUGGUCGAGGACUGUUGCAACGGCCUCCUUCUCUUCUCCUCAUACGUUGCUGGCGACCAUGGCGACGAGUUAUACGUUGUGUGCAAUCCCGCCACAGAGGAAUGGGCUGAGUUGCCGCAUUCCGGCUAUUCCAGCUAUUCCGGUGAUGUGUCUAGUAUAAACUUGUGUUUUGAUCCAGCCGUGUCCCCCCAUUUCCAUGUGUUUUUGUUGCCGGCCGUGGAGGUGGAUGACCAACAUGGCUUCUGUAUUACCGGAGUGCAUGUCUAUUCAUCUGAAACCGGGAGUUGGGUUCAUAAGGAGAAGAGAUGGAGCGGCAAUAUUGAUGUCGGUUAUGAUCCGUCAUUUAUCUAUCUCAAUGGUUAUCUGCAUUUUUGCGCCAUUGUUGAUGAUUCUGCCCGCCAGCUAGCUGCAGUGGACAAGGAGGGGGGAGCAAGGACUGACUUUCGUGUUCCUGAUGGUCUGGAUGUUGGUUUUAUUCAGCAGUCACAGGGCUGCCUGCAUUAUGCUGGUUUUGACAGAGAUGGCAAUGAUGAUGAUGUUGAUUGACUGCUAGUUUAUGUUCUUAAAGACUAUGACAGCAAAGAAUGGAUACUGAAGCAUAGCGUCGAAACUUCACAUCUGUUUGCAGGGCGACACGCAGUCAGCCUUUAUGAGGACUUUGAUUGGAUUGCAAUUCAUCCAGAAUGUAACUUGAUCUUCUUCACUCUGGCCUGGGAGGAUAUCACAUUCAUGUGCUAUGAUAUGGAUCGUGGGCAAGUUAAAGUGAUCUGCAAUCUUGAAGAAAGCGAGCCACCAUAUUUUCCGUAUGUUCCACUAUAUGAAGAGUUACAAUCGUUGCACAAGUGAUGUCUUAUUCGUGCUAUGGAGCAGCGAGCAUGGUCUACUAUUUUGUAGGCACAGACGAGUACUGCAUUGAGGAACCAGCGAAGAAAAUAAGCACAUAUGCACAAAUCUGAGCAAUUUGACUAUUCUUUGUCUUUUACGAUGUGGAUCCGCGGCACCGUGAGAGAGGUAACGUCGGCCGGUGCCUCACCACUGGCUAUUGUGGCGGCGGCAAGGAAAAGGGCGCCGAGGAUGUGCUGCUCUGUGCACGGUCGUUGAAGUACUAUGAUGUGUGUGGUUUCUCUAUUUUCCUCCUAUUGCCUGUUCCCAAUUUUACAAACUGUUAAGUUGGUGCUUGAUUUCGCUUUCGGAUUUUUCUGUGGCUUUCUCCAUUAGCAUGUUUCUCCUCAACGACCAUAUCAAUCUGGCUGGCGUUUGCACAUGUGAUUUUGGUUGAGGUAUGUGCAAGAUCAUCCCUCUCUAGACUGUAAAUUUGUCUGUAGGUUUUGGUAGAUUUGAUUUAUCGGUGGCUAAGGCAGUGGUGAUGCCGCAGGUUGACCGAUUGUGUACUACAAGGAGAGGUGCCACUAUAUUAUUUUCAUUCUGGCUCAUGUAGUUCAAAUCAGUUUUCAUAUGAAAGAAAUUAUGCAUGAUAUUUGGUAAUACUUUAACUGCAGCUUAGGAUACAAAUGCGAUUGCGUUAGUCAGUUGUUAAACAGGCUACUCACAUGCUGCCUCUUCCUCAUGAUGGUAUAGGAGCGCACGCUGAUCCAAUGGACAGGAGGGAAGCCGCUAACGCAUUCCGGCUAUCCCGGUGAGGUGUCUAAUAUAAGCUUGUGUUUUGAUCCAGCCGUGUCCCCCUAUUUCCAUGUGUUUUUGUUGCCGGCCGAGGAGGUGGAGGACCAACAUGACUUCUGUCUUACCGGGGUGCAUGUCUAUUCAUCUGAAACCGGGAGUUGGGUUCAUAAGGAGAAGAGAUGGAUCGGCAAUAUUGAUGUCGCUAAUGACCGGUCAACUAUCUAUCUUAAUGGUUAUCUGCGUUUCUGCGCCAUUGUUGAUGGUUCUGCCCGUCGUCUAGCUGCAGUGGACGAGGGGGGAGCAAGGACUAACUUUCAUAUUCCUGAUGGUCUGGAUGUCAGUUUUAUUCAGCAGUCAUAGGGCUGCCUGCAUUAUGCUGGUUUUGACAUAUAUGACAAUGAUGAUGAUGUUGUUUGACUGCUAGUUUAUGUUCUUAAAGACUGUCACAGCAAAGAAUGGAUACUGAAGCAUAGCAUCGAAACUUCGCAUGUGUUUGGAGGACGACGGAUAGAGGACCUUGAUGAGCACUUUAAUUGGAUUGCAAUUUAUCCAGAAUGUGACUGACCUUCACUGUGGGCCGGGAGGAUAUCGUCGAAACUUCGCAUGUGUUUGGAGGACGACGCAUAGAGGACCUUGAUGAGCACAUUAAUUGGAUUGCAAUUUAUCCAGAAUGUGACUUGAUUUUCUCACUGUGGGCCGGGAGGAUAUCACACUGAUGUGCUAUAUAUGGAUUGUCGACAAGUCAAAGUGAUAUGCAAUCUUGAAGAAGGCAAACCGCCAUAUUUUCCAAAUGUGCCGCUUUAUGUAGAACUACAGUCGUUGCACAAGUGAUGUCUUAUUCGUGCUAUGGAGCAGUGGGCAUGGUACUUCCCAUGUUAGUCUUGCCUAUAAUGGUGCACAUACACUCUACUCCAAGGCGACUCUAAUUGUGUUAAUAAGAGAGGUAAUUCAACUUACUGCUGAGGCAUUUGCCUACUGGGAUGAUGUUCAACUCUGUUGGGAAAUUCAUGCUGGGAAGGUCAUCGAAACUAAUUUCUUUAGCUGGUCAACCUUUGGUAGGCUAGUACUUCGAGCUGGGCUGGAAUAUGGCAGGACCCAAUAUGGCAGCUCGCCAAACUGCUAAAUAAUCUUUCCCAGGCCCUGGCGUUCCUUGGACACUGUAUUCAGCAAGAUUGUCAAAUGAUUGGUGCAGUUAAAGAAUUCAUGGCUGAAAUUUUCUCGCAAUGUAAGUUAUUUCCAUUAUCAGAAUGUUAUGACGUACCUCCAGAAGUUGUUCGAAAUCCACAAGGUGGAUGAGGAGGUAUUUCCCCUGCUCACCAUGAAGGACCUCAAGGACAUGGGCAACAGUGCCAUUUGGUCAUGGAGCUCCGUAGCAGCUGUUUCCCGAGUUGGGUGAGAGCUCCGAGCUUUUUGUUUCCUCUCCCAUUUAUUGAAUUGUGAAAACGCCUUAUGUUUAGUUAUGGAGGUAGUAGUAGCGAUGACGGCAUUAACAAAUGGUGAUUUCAGCAAUCCUAGUGUGUUGGCAUGGACACAUGAACAAGAUUCUUCUUAUUCAUCCUAAAUAGACCCCCCUCCCCCCACGCGCACACACGACCAUCACCUUUCAUAAAUGGAUGUAUCUAGCACCAAGUUAGUGCUAAAUACAUCCAUUUGAGGGACAAGUUUUUCCGGAUGGAGGGUGUAGGUUUGAACAAUGUCUUUUCUCUGAAUCUUCAAUGAUUAACGAUGAAUGGUUGUUGAGACUAUUUUGCCAUUUUAUUGGUUGUAUAAUGGUUGAUGUGGUGAACUUUUAUAUGUGCAAUAUAUUUUCAUACAUGUA